UGACAAUACAGAUCUCAAGCAGAGGGUUUAACCAGCAGCAGCAACUGAAGGAUGUCCUUGAGGGCAAAAUGCUAUAGACUGUAAGAUUACACCUAUUUCAGAGACUCUGAAGUUAUCAACGGCAAAAACUUUGUGUCAUGUUCUCCUGGUGUUUUCCUAGCUCAACACAGUGCUUAGCAUUUGGUGGACGCUCAACUUGAAAUUAUAAGGCUUUUCAUCCAAUAAAGUGAUACUCAGAUAACCCUAAAGCCAAGGAAAUGAAAAGAGAAGGGAAAAAAGAAGCCAUGGCAUUAGACAGAACACUUCCUGAGAAGACUAGAGGUGUGGUUCUUGCCCUUCUUUCUACUUUUUUUUUUUUAAGCCAAUGU